GGUAGCGUGGCUUAGUGGAAAGAGCCCGGGCUUGGGAGUCCGAGGUCGUGGGUUCGAAUCCCGACCUCCGCCG
rnacentral:tRNA from 1 species